CGGCAUGCUUUACACAUGCAAGUCGAACGGUAACAGGCCGCAAGGUGCUGACGAGUGGCGAACGGGUGAGUAAUGCAUCGGAACGUGCCCAGUCGUGGGGGAUAACGCAGCGAAAGCUGCGCUAAUACCGCAUACGAUCUAUGGAUGAAAGCGGGGGACCGUAAGGCCUCGCGCGAUUGGAGCGGCCGAUGUCAGAUUAGGUAGUUGGUGGGGUAAAGGCUCACCAAGCCGACGAUCUGUAGCUGGUCUGAGAGGACGACCAGCCACACUGGGACUGAGACACGGCCCAGACUCCUACGGGAGGCAGCAGUGGGGAAUUUUGGACAAUGGGCGCAAGCCUGAUCCAGCAAUGCCGCGUGCAGGAAGAAGGCCUUCGGGUUGUAAACUGCUUUUGUACGGAACGAAAAGGCUCUGGUUAAUACCUGGGGCACAUGACGGUACCGUAAGAAUAAGCACCGGCUAACUACGUGCCAGCAGCCGCGGUAAUACGUAGGGUGCAAGCGUUAAUCGGAAUUACUGGGCGUAAAGCGUGCGCAGGCGGUUUUGUAAGACAGGCGUGAAAUCCCCGG
rnacentral:rRNA from 1 species